AUGCACAGACACAGAGCCGUACUAAGGGAGAUGGGAAGGCAAGGAAGGGCAGACCCGCCCCAGGGGAAGCUGCCGUAAGCUUUGACUUCAAAAGCCCAGGUUUGGGUCCUUCCUUUGCCUUUUCAUAGUUCAUAACUCGGACUAACCACUCUUCCCAUCAAGCCUCCGCAACUGAGCCAACUGGCCCUCCGGGGCUUUCCUCACAGCUUGCGAUGGAGCUUUGGCGCUUCACCUGAAGGGGAGGGACUCCGCAAACUGCGAGGUCAGGUACACAUUCCCAGAGCCCUAACCUCACGAAGCCGAUUGUCUUCCUCUCCAAAAAGGGAGUUGAUCAUACACAUUCCGCCACCUAGAAAGAAGCCCACGAGUAAAGCUGUUCUCCCCGGGUCGGCCUCAAGCGGCGCUCGCUGUCUGCCUGGCACGCGGGGGGUGCAGCCCACCGCAUCCCGGCGACUGCGGCCCGGAGCCUGCAGGGCGCGCGCUGAACGCCGGCUCCUCGCCGCGGCUCGGGCGGCAGGAGGAGCGUUCGCGCUGUGGGCGUCCCUUUAAGAGCAGCCGGCCCGGCCUCCGCCUCAGUAGCGGAGCGCCAGCGGCCACCUGGGGUGCGCAGGGCAGCCAGAUCGUGGGGGCCGGCGCCCUCGCCCGCGCAGGUGGAGACCAGGCCCCGACGCCGGGGCCGCGAGCGUACGGCAGCGCGGCGGAGGAUGCGGGAGCGCAUGUGGGCGCCGCUGUCGCUGCUGCUGGCGCUCCUGCUGCCGCCGUCGCUGUGGGGUGGCCCCCCGGACCGUGAGCGCACGGAGCGGCAGCCCGAUCCCGGGCCUCUGCAGCCCUUCGACCUGCUCUACGCCAGCGGCGUGGCCGCCUACUACCGCGGGGACUACGAGAGAGCCGUGCGCGACUUGGAAGCGGCUCUGCGCAGCCACCGGCGCCUGCGGGAGAUCCGCGCGCGCUGCUCCCGCUACUGCGCCGCGCGCCGCCCGCUCGCGCCCCCGGGGGUCGGGCCCGGGGCCGAGCUGCCCUUCUUCCGUGCCUUGCUGGAGAGGGCGCGCUGUUACCGCGGCUGCCAGACCCAGCGCCUCGGGGGACCCGCGUCCCACCACCGCGUCAGCGAGGAUGUGCGCAGCGACUUCCAGCGCAGAGUGCCGUACAACUACCUGCAGCGGGCCUACAUCAAGCUUAACCAGUUGGAAAAGGCAGUGCAAGCAGCCCACACAUUUUUCAUGGCCAACCCUGAGCACAUGGAAAUACAGCAGAACAUCGAGAAUUACAGGACAAUGGCCAGCACCGAACAACUCCAGUUGGUAGACCAAGAAGCCAGACCACACCUGGAGAGCUAUGGUGCAGGAGUGAAGCACUAUGAAGCCAAUGACUUUGAGCUAGCUAUCAAGUACUUUGAGCAAGCUUUAAGGGAAUAUUUCAAUGAAGACAUGGAAUGCAGAGCCUUGUGUGAAGGGCCUCAGAGAUUUGAAGAGUAUGAAUACUUAGGAUAUAAAGCUGGUCUCUAUGAAGCCAUUGCAGAUCACUACAUGCAGGUGCUAGUCUGUCAGCAUGAGUGUGUGAGGGAACUAGCCACCCGCCCUGGCCGCCUCUCCCCAAUUGAGAACUUUCUUCCCCUGCAUUAUGACUACCUACAGUUUGCCUACUAUCAAGUUGGCGAAUAUGUGAGAGCUUUGGAGUGUGCCAAGGCCUAUCUCCUGCUCCAUCCGGACGAUGAGGAUGUCCUAGACAAUGUGGAUCAUUAUGAGAGCCUCCUGGACGACAGUACUGACCCAGCAUCCAUUGAGGCCAGAGAGGAUUUGACAGUGUUUGUGAAGCGUCAUAAACUGGAAUCAGAGCUAAUAAAAUCAGCUGCAGAGGGCCUAGGAUUUUCAUACACUGAACCGAAUUAUUGGAUCCGUUAUGGAGGACGGCAGGAUGAGAAUCGGGUCCCUUCAGGAGUGAACGUGGAGGGUGCAGAAGUUCAUGGAUUGUCAAUGGGGAAAAAAUCAUCACCUAAGAUAGACCGAGACCUCAGAGAAGGUGGUCCUCUGCCCUAUGAGAACAUCACGCUCGUCUAUGACUCGCAACAGCUGAACGGGACUCAGCGGGUUCUCCUGGACAAUGUCCUGUCAGAGGAGCAGUGCCGGGAGCUCCACAGCGUGGCCAGCGGAAUCAUGCUUGUAGGAGAUGGAUACAGAGGAAAAACUUCACCCCACACACCCAAUGAAAAGUUUGAAGGUGCCACUGUCCUGAAAGCACUCAAAUUCGGGUAUGAAGGCCGAGUCCCACUGAAGAGUGCCCGUCUGUUUUAUGACAUCAGCGAGAAGGCUCGAAAGAUUGUAGAAUCCUAUUUCAUGUUGAACACAACCCUGUAUUUUUCCUAUACACACAUGGUCUGCCGAACUGCCCUGUCUGGUCAACAGGAUAGAAGAAAUGACCUCAGUCAUCCCAUCCAUGCUGACAACUGCCUGUUGGAUCCAGAGGCAAAUGAAUGCUGGAAGGAGCCUCCUGCUUACACAUUCCGGGACUAUAGUGCUCUCCUGUAUAUGAAUGAUGACUUUGAAGGAGGAGAAUUCAUAUUUACCGAGAUGGAUGCCAAGACUGUGACUGUAGGCCUCUAUAAAACCAAAGUGUGGGCGUAUGAUUAGUUUCUCAUCUGGAGGAGAGAACCCACAUGGGGUGAAGGCUGUCACCAAGGGCCAGAGGUGUGCUGUGGCGCUGUGGUUUACCUUGGACCCACUUUAUAGAGAACUGGAGCGAAUACAGGCCGAUGAAGUGAUCGCAAUCCUAGAUCAAGAACAGCAAGGGAAGCACCAACUGAAUAUCAACCCCAAAGAUGAGCUGUAAAAUGAGAGUGUUCUAUUAUCAGUUAUUUAUUUAAAUUGUUAAUCUUAUGAGAACCUUUUUAUUUUUGUACAGAGCCAUGGUAUAAAUUAACAUGUUAACCUGAGUCACCCUUCUGUCCUUCUGUCCUUCUGUCCCUAAGGAUGCUUGCUUUGCCUCACUCUGUCUCUCCUGGUAUUUCAAUUCAUCUCUCAAAGCCUGGUCACCCCCUCCACCCCACAACCACACACACACACACACACACACGCGUACUUCAUUUGCUCCAGCUCUAAAAUUAGCAUGGGAUUUGGAGUCAGGGCCUUCUGGCUCUGUGCUCCAGGAAGGGCUGCCCUAUGACUUUUGUCUUUAAAUGGGGGUUGAAGAAUGAUUCUUUACCACAGUGACUUUGGAAGAAAAUCUGUAAUCCCACCUGAAUCAGGACUCCAUCAUCACACUGUGUGAGAGUGAGGUUCACUGGAGAGAAGGAGCAUUUUGUAAGAAAAAUGGACUUCUGAUGAACUCCAGUCUUCGUCUGCCUGUAUUUUGCCAACCCCUCUUCUUGCGACUGUCCAGCACAUGAAUUCAUGCUUGUGUCGGAUUUGUUUAAUACAGAGAGGCUUAUUUUACUAUCUGGCAUUUAUUUUCCUUCUCCCAAACUUUUGGUUUAUCUUGGGAAAUGGCUUUUUGGUCCCGCUGGUGCUUUGGGGACAGCCCAGGGACAACACUGGCCUAUGGUGAGUUUUGCCGGCAGUUGCUCCAGGGCUGCAGGAAGAUGGGAGAACUGCUUUUGAAGGAACAGAUGGUUAGCAAACAGAGGGGUUAAAUCCAGAGAGCCUCUGGUCCUUGCCACAGUUCUAAGGAAGACACGGCACAGACAUUGUUUGAGGUAGGACUGGGGUGGUUCUAGCCUAGGGGAGCCUGCACCACCAACGAGGGGGGAUCACCUGCCUCUGCAAUGGGCAGCAGUAGAGGUAGAGGCCCUUAAGAAAACCAGCAAAUCAAAACAUUUCUGAAAAAUCACAUUUCCUUUCUGCCAUUUAUGAUCAUGUUUAGCGGUGAGAACAUUCAGUCUUUGACACUGAGAAACUGAAUCAUAGAGAUUUAUGUGCCACCUGUUUCCACCCGACCUUUGGUUGCCUUUUCAUCAUGGGAGAGUGGAAAGAGCACUCGGGUUAUGAUCCCGGCCUGAUCAAAUGUGCCCUGCUGUGUGACCUGGAGCUACUCUCUUUCCCUUUCUGGGCGUCGGUUUCCUCUUCUGAAAAUGACAUAAUGGGUUGUAAUUGUUUCCAAAAGCCCUCCUGCCUUUUGCUCCAUACACAAAACAAAACAAAUAAAACAAAAACAAAACUGA